rnacentral:snoRNA from 14 species
AAGGCAACUUUUUGCCGAGUGAAUCGAACAUCGAUCUCUCUCUUUUUCCCAGUUGCCCAAAUCAUGUAAUGGCUGCGUGAGGAUUUUUUGAUUGGUUAUUCAAUCUUUUAUAUAACCUAUCUUUUCCUCUUUGCUGCUACAUAA